UGUAGUUUUGUUCCCGGAGGAGGAUGACUGUGUGGCAGUAGUUCCACACCUUUGGCUUCCACAGGGAGUUUGCUACUGGCCACCACACAUCACCAGCAGGAAGUCCUUCAGCCACAACAAGUUUGUCAGAACUUGUUCGCCACCUGAAGACACCUGGAAGGCUGCCCCUUAUAAAGCUCAUCAACCAUGCAGACACGUGAGAGACCAGACAUGUGUAUCGUCAGAAGAGCGAAAAUCGUCCUAGCGUUGGCCCCUACCACCCCAAGGACGCACAUCUACACCACAACACCCUGUAGACUGCAGCCCUGGAGGAUGGAGCAAGCACAGUACUCCAAGGCACCAGAGAAGUACUCCGAGCCACCAUGUGGAGGACUGCUACAUGGGUAUGUGUGGGUUCAUUUACUUAACCCAGAUGCUUAACUUGUUACUAA